GGCGAUAGCGAAGAGGUCACACCCGUUCCCAUACCGAACACGGAAGUUAAGCUCUUUAGCGCCAAUGGUAGUUGGGACUUUGUCCCUGUGAGAGUAGGACGUUGCCA
rnacentral:rRNA from 1 species